AUGCAUCAAGCCAUACAAGGAUGUAAUGGAGCAAGAACUUGGGAGGAAUUCAAGAAGACUUUGAUGAGAUCACGUCUCAUCCGGAAGCAUUGUGAUAACCCGAUGAAGAAACCUUGUGCCUGCAAGAUUUGUGGAGACAUAGGACACACCAAUGAAGAUCACAAGGAUGGAUGCCCUGAUUGUGAGGAAAAUUACCCAAAGGAAGAAUGCCCAACUAGGCAGGUGACUUGUUUCCUGUGUGAAGGAACUACGCACUACCCUGCUCAAUGUCAGAUUUACCCCAAGGUACAAGAAAUUACCAAGCAGCGAAAAGAAGCCCUCAGGGAAAGUUUGGAAGAAUCUGUGAUGGAGGAAGUUAUUGAAGACCCUGAUGAAGAAGGCCUAAACAGAUUUUACGUUCAUGCCUGCUAUUCAUGUGGAGAAGAAGGACAUUUUUCACGGUAUUGCACAAAGGAAAGAGAAGAGUAUCUUGGAGAUUUCUCGAUAGCAGAAGUGAAGUUUGACCCUCAGGAAAUAGAAGCAUUGAUUAUUACAGAGAAAUCCAGGAAGAGAAAACGAAGGCAUCCCCAGAGCAACUCAAUUUCUGCAUAG
rnacentral:rRNA from 1 species